rnacentral:rRNA from 1 species
GUGAGGAAUAUUGCGCAAUGGAGGCAACUCUGACGCAGCCAUGCCGCGUGCAGGAAGAAGGCGCUACGCGUUGUAAACUGCUUUUAACCGGGAAGAAACCCCAGGACGUGUCCUGGGUUGACGGUACCGGAGGAAUAAGCACCGGCUAACUUCGUGCCAGCAGCCGCGGUAAUACGAAGGGUGCAAGCGUUAUCCGGAUUCAUUGGGUUUAACGGGUGCGUAGGCGGAGCGUUAAGUCAGUGGUGAAAUCCUGCAGCUUAACUGUAGACUUGCAAUUGAUACUGGCGCUCUUGAGUGCGCUUGAAGUGGGCGGAAUGUGCCGUGUAGCGGUGAAAUGCUUAGAUAUGGCACAGAACACCAAUUGCGAAGGCAGCUCACUAAGGCGAUACUGACGCUGAGGCACGAAAGCGUGGGGAUCGAACAGGAUUAGAUACCCCUGUAGUCC